GUGUCAUGCGUGUCAUCCUUGAUGACCAGCAUACGCAAUGUGCUACUGUAAUUUGAAUUUGGAAAUGACUUGAGUGACGUUUUUUCGACGCACUGGUUAACUCCACCGUAGCAAAUCACAUGACUUUGACAUAACCAAUAAUUACAGUUUAUCGGUAAUUUGUAUAUUUUUCUUUAUUGUACUGUGAUAAUGUCAGUAUCAGUGGACUGCCGUGAUUUAAAAUUGGGUUAGUGCAAUUGACAUGCGCGAAUACAACGCGUAAGGAUCUACUUUCCCCUUUCAUUCACAAAAUUGCGCGUGAUUUUUUUCGCAGAAACGCACGAGAUUUUUAGCGAAUGAAACACUUUACAUUGUUUGAAACUUUUACAAAGUUAGUUUAGCCUUUUGAACGAUUGAUUCAAAAUGUAAACAAAAAUGCAUGAAAAGCGAUAGACUUUUAAAAAAAAAUGAGUUAUCUAUAAUUGAUAUAUUAAUACAUGACUAACAUUAUUAUAUCGUCCAUGAUGUUCCAAUCGAGUUUUAUGCAUACAAUACCAAUCAUAGCCGGGUGCUGUUCCAAGUAGUUUUCUUUUUCUGUUUCUUGAGAAGUAUUUGUUUUACCUGUUCAGUCACUAUAAAGUGUUACAAUUCAUAUUUAAACGCAACACAUAAAUAGUGACCAAAAAGGUACCGCUAUCGCAUGAGAGAAGCUAGAAAAUAAUGGUCAAUUUAAAGACAGAUAUUCAUAGAACAAAAAACCAAAAAGUGAACUUAUUCAUUUGCGGAUCUACAUGUAGGAUAAAUUUUAAAAAGGGGGGUAACCGGGGUCACCAAACUAUACAUGUAUAAAGGUCUGCUUUGACCUGAAUUGUAGCCUUUAUAAGCUAAGAGGUGACUGACACGGGUCGCCUUCCCUAAAUUCGCAUAAGAAAUUAAAGGUAACCACAGGGACUGUAAACUCCAAUUUUCAUAAUUUCUGGUCCGUGUUGAAAAUAGAUGAACAAGACUUUGACAAAAGCAAGAAUUAUAUUAAGCUAAAAGUUUAGUGACGUCUAUUAAAAUGUUUGAAAUAAUUAUGAAGUAGACAAGAAAUUAGCUUGUUCAGAUAAUUUACAAAUAACUUUAACAGUCACUCAGCUCCUAAAAUGUCUCCUCACAUAGUCCAAAUAAUCAUGAUGAAAAAAUAUAAUAGACUUUCAAGACGUCAUAAUUAUUUGGACUACUCCCCAGUGCUUUCUUAAAAUUAUUUGAAAUCAAUGUGAUCGUUUUCAUGAUGAACACUGUCACUGAGCGAAUAAUGACAAGAUAAAUGUUAUUGUAUCCACUAAACUAAGUAAAAUAUAAUUAUAAUAACUUGUCGUUGAACUUAAAAAUGAUGAUCGAUGAACAAUCUGCUUAUUCAUAUCGUAUCAUUCUAAUGUUCUGACUUACUAUGCUCGAGGGGGGUCAUGGAUGCAUGGAUAGGACCUUUAUCGGGACUUCGGGAUCAGGUGUUUUUAAGCUCGUGAUUUCGGGAUGUCGGGAUUUACUUUAUUUAAAAUCGGGACCUCGUGAUUUCGUGUUUUUAAACGGGCCGGGAUUUCGGGAUCAGGAACCCUCCUAUCCCCCUCUAUGUUGAUGCUUUGUGAAAAAUACAGAAAUUUUACUUACCGGUAUGCUACCAUUAUAUUUGCCAUCGUUAGAGUCAUGUCCAAAGCAGAAUAUUAAUGAAACACAUGCAAUAAUUCCUUCAAAUCUUUAACUUUGUGCAAGAGAACGCCAUGUUUACUGCACUGUGACAAAAUUUAAAUGACGUAAUGCAGCCUGUGACGUCAAGUGUGAUUCGCCGUGAUCCAACGCGAAAAAGAAGUUCGUUUGUUAUUUUCUCUAUUAUUGUAGUGAUUUUUAAUUUUUUUUAAAUUACCGAUAAACAGAAUAAAGGACUUUUUGUUUUUGAUACUGACUUUAUCACAGAAAAUAUCAGGCUCGCCCUUCGGGCUCACCUGAUAUUUUACUGUGAUAAAGUCAGUAUCAAAAACAAAAAGUCCUUUAUUCUAUAUAUAUAGGAGCAAAAUAUACCUUUAUAAGUAACGAAUUGUCGCAUAAAAACAAAAUACACGGGCAAUGACAAAUUUCACGAAGUCUAUAGUCUAUUUGAUUUUUUUACAAAGUCC
rnacentral:lncRNA from 1 species